CAGUGGAGUAUGUGGUUUAAUUCGAAGCAACGCGAAGAACCUUACCAGGUCUUGACAUCCCCCUGAGUCACCUAGAGAUAGGUGCGGCCUUCGGGACAGGGGAGACAGGUGGUGCAUGGUUGUCGUCAGCUCGUGUCGUGAGAUGUUGGGUUAAGUCCCGCAACGAGCGCAACCCUUGAAUUCAGUUGCCAGCACCUCGGGUGGGCACUCUGAAUUGACUGCCGGUGACAAACCGGAGGAAGGCGGGGAUGACGUCAAAUCAUCAUGCCCCUUAUGACCUGGGCUACACACGUACUACAAUGGCCGGUACAACGGGCCGCGAAGCCGCGAGGCGGAGCCAAUCCUUAAAAGCCGGUCUCAGUUCGGAUUGCAGGCUGCAACUCGCCUGCAUGAAGUCGGAAUUGCUAGUAAUCGCGGAUCAGCAUGCCGCGGUGAAUACGUUCCCGGGUCUUGUACACACCGCCCGUCACACCACGAGAGUUUACAACACCCGAAGUCGGUGGGGUAACCCGCAAGGGAGCCAGCCGCCGAAGGUGGGGUAGAUGAUUGGGGUGAAGUCGUAACAAGGUAACCGU
rnacentral:rRNA from 1 species